rfam:Streptomyces sp. NRRL F-6602 F6602contig8.1, whole genome shotgun sequence.
GCGCAGGGUGUGCUCCCAUGUGCCCGGCUCGGGGGUGAGGACCUGUUCCCCGGCGUGGUCGCCGUCGGCCAGCACGCCGAGGUCCACCUCGUCGUCGUACUGCCCGGCGGCGUGCCGGGUGACCCGGCCGCGGGCGAUCAGCAGCAGUUCCUCGACGGGCCGGCCGCGCACGGUCAGCUCCUGGCCCGGCUCGUACUCGCGCUGGACGAAGCCGUCGGCCAGCGCCCGCAGCGCCGCCUCGUCCUCCAGCCCGCGCAGCAGGGCGAUCUCCCGCAGUUCGGCGGGGAUGACGCUGAUGUCGGCGCCGGUGGAGACGAACUCGAUCCUGCCGUCGCCCAGGGUGUGGGUGAGGCGCCGGUUGACGCGGUAGGUGCCGCCGGUGGUCUCGGUCCACGGCAGGACGUGCAGCAGCCAGCGCGGGGAGAUCCCCUGCAUCUGCGGGGGCGUCUUGGUGGUGGUGGCGAGAUUGCGUGCCGCCGCCGUGGUGAGGCUGGAGGACACGG